UACGUAGGUGGCAAGCGUUAUCCGGAUUUAUUGGGUUUAAAGGGUGCGUAGGCGGAAUUGUAAGUCAGUGGUGAAAGCCCUUCGCUUAACGAAGGAACUGCCAUUGAUACUGCAAAAUCUUGAGUACAUUUUGAUGUGGGCGGAAUGUGUCAUGUAGCGGUGAAAAUGCUUUAGAUAUGACACAGAAACACCGAUUACGAAAGGCAGCUCACAAA
rnacentral:rRNA from 1 species